ensembl:lncRNA
GAUGCGUCCCCCUCCACCCACCACUACCGCCUUUUCCUCCCAUCACACCCCACCCCGUGGGCGCUAAGUUCUACUCGAGCCCAGCAAAUCCCGCCAGAAUUGGCCGGAUCCUCAGAGAGUAGUUAAGAAAAGGGAAUCCCUCAAGGGCCCAGCUCCUAAUUCUGUGCGGAAUAGAAAGACGCAACAUGCGCAAGCUCCUUCCCCGCCCCCAGGCGGGAAAACAGGGUCCUUUUUCUCUGAGGGCUACCUGGAUGUUAAACGCCGCCAGGUCCAGAGAAUGAGCCUCACAGAUGCUGCCAGAAAAGCUUGGGAAAGGUCGUGCAGCUUGUUUUCUUGCACUCUGGCAAGCUGCUGAGACAGAAAACCUACUCCUUCGGAGGAGCGUGGCCUUUUCUUAUAUUGCUUUCCCCCGCUGCUUCUGAGCUUCUUGAACUCAGCUCAUCCAUCAAGAAGCAGCUCAUCCAUCAAGAAGGCCUUAUGGAUGAGCUACCUAUCCCCACUGAGAGAGGAGGAACAUCAACUGCAGUUUCUAACUAGAUUGCCUUCUUCAUUUCAAGUGAUGGCUGCCAUCAGGGUCAGAUUAAGGACAGACCAGCCGGAUGGCUGCUUGGAAGACUAACCUACAAGGAUACUAAAAUGUUCACCGUGUGCUUACAUCACCAGGAAAAUAUACCAGCACUUCUUUUAGGGAGCACUCUGGGGCUGGAAGAAAUGACUUGUUAAGUUCCUCAGGAGUAAUCAGAAUAGAGGAACAGAGGGAUGGCUUACUGCAGGGUUCCUGUUUUUCCUACUGAGAUAUGUAAAUUAGGUACCCCAGCUGGAUUGUUUGCACAUGGAGGGCAGUGGUCCUGCUCAAUUCGUCCUUACACAGAACUCAGUCUGCCCUCUAAUAAAGAUCCUACAAGUAGUGGUUUGAAGGAGACACCAAUUUAUUAGCCUACUCAUCUCUGUUCUGAACUUUAGGGCUUGGAAAUGAAGACACAGUCAUUGAUAGUUUCUCUUCCAGUUCUAGAAUAUUAGCCCUUAGUGUGUCUUCAUUCACUCAGAGUAAGGGUUGUUAAUUAACAGAGCAGAUCAGGACUAACAGAGCUUGAAUUCUUGUGGGUUGGGUGAUCAGAUCCUGUGUUGAAUUAAUUAGAUGGAGACCAAGUGGAGUUGAGAUUUUCAAAA